rnacentral:rRNA from 1 species
UUAAGCGACUAAGCGUACACGGUGGAUGCCCUGGCAGUCAGAGGCGAUGAAGGACGUGCUAAUCUGCGAAAAGCGUCGGUAAGGUGAUAUGAACCGUUAUAACCGGCGAUGUCCGAAUGGGGAAACCCAGUGCAAUUCGUUGCACUAUCGUUAACUGAAUACAUAGGUUAACGAGGCGAACCGGGGGAACUGAAACAUCUAAGUACCCCGAGGAAAAGAAAUCAACCGAGAUUCCCCCAGUAGCGGCGAGCGAACGGGGAGCAGCCCAGAGUCUGAAUCAGCUUGUGUGUUAGUGGAACGGUCUGGAAAGUCCGACGGUACAGGGUGAUAGUCCCGUACACCAAAAUGCACAGGUUGUGAACUCGAAGAGUAGGGCGGGACACGUGGUAUCCUGUCUGAAUAUGGGGGGACCAUCCUCCAAGGCUAAAUACUCCUGACUGACCGAUAGUGAACCAGUACCGUGAGGGAAAGGCGAAAAGAACCCCGGCGAGGGGAGUGAAAAAGAACCUGAAACCGUGUACGUACAAGCAGUGGGAGCACCUUCGGGUGUGACUGCGUACCUUUUGUAUAAUGGGUCAGCGACUUAUAUUCUGUAGCAAGGUUAACCGUAUAGGGGAGCCGCAGGGAAACCGAGUCUUAACUGGGCGUUAAGUUGCAGGGUAUAGACCCGAAACCCGGUGAUCUAGCCAUGGGCAGGUUGAAGGUUGGGUAACACUAACUGGAGGACCGAACCGACUAAUGUUGAAAAAUUAGCGGAUGACUUGUGGCUGGGGGUGAAAGGCCAAUCAAACCGGGAGAUAGCUGGUUCUCCCCGAAAGCUAUUUAGGUAGCGCCUCGUGAANGCUGUGAACUCGAAGAGUAGGGCGGGACACGUGGUAUCCUGUCUGAAUAUGGGGGGACCAUCCUCCAAGGCUAAAUACUCCUGACUGACCGAUAGUGAACCAGUACCGUGAGGGAAAGGCGAAAAGAACCCCGGCGAGGGGAGUGAAAAAGAACCUGAAACCGUGUACGUACAAGCAGUGGGAGCACCUUCGGGUGUGACUGCGUACCUUUUGUAUAAUGGGUCAGCGACUUAUAUUCUGUAGCAAGGUUAACCGUAUAGGGGAGCCGCAGGGAAACCGAGUCUUAACUGGGCGUUAAGUUGCAGGGUAUAGACCCGAAACCCGGUGAUCUAGCCAUGGGCAGGUUGAAGGUUGGGUAACACUAACUGGAGGACCGAACCGACUAAUGUUGAAAAAUUAGCGGAUGACUUGUGGCUGGGGGUGAAAGGCCAAUCAAACCGGGAGAUAGCUGGUUCUCCCCGAAAGCUAUUUAGGUAGCGCCUCGUGAANUCAUCUUCGGGGGUAGAGCACUGUUUCGGCUAGGGGGUCAUCCCGACUUACCAACCCGAUGCAAACUACGAAUACCGAAGAAUGUUAUCACGGGAGACACACGGCGGGUGCUAACGUCCGUCGUGAAGAGGGAAACAACCCAGACCGCCAGCUAAGGUCCCAAAGUCAUGGUUAAGUGGGAAACGAUGUGGGAAGGCACAGACAGCCAGGAUGUUGGCUUAGAAGCAGCCAUCAUUUAAAGAAAGCGUAAUAGCUCACUGGUCGAGUCGGCCUGCGCGGAAGAUGUAACGGGGCUAAACCAUGCACCGAAGCUGCGGCAGCGACACUAUGUGUUGUUGGGUAGGGGAGCGUUCUGUAAGCCUGCGAAGGUGACCUGUGAGGGUUGCUGGAGGUAUCAGAAGUGCGAAUGCUGACAUAAGUAACGAUAAAGCGGGUGAAAAGCCCGCUCGCCGGAAGACCAAGGGUUCCUGUCCAACGUUAAUCGGGGCAGGGUGAGUCGACCCCUAAGGCGAGGCCGAAAGGCGUAGUCGAUGGGAAACAGGUUAAUAUUCCUGUACUUGGUGUUACUGCGAAGGGGGGACGGAGAAGGCUAUGUUAGCCGGGCGACGGUUGUCCCGGUUUAAGCAUGUAGGCUGGUUGUCCAGGCAAAUCCGGAUAAUCAAGGCUGAGGUGUGAUGACGAGGCACUACGGUGCUGAAGUAACAAAUGCCCUGCUUCCAGGAAAAGCCUCUAAGCAUCAGGUAACAUNAAAUCGUACCCCAAACCGACACAGGUGGUCAGGUAGAGAAUACCAAGGCGCUUGAGAGAACUCGGGUGAAGGAACUAGGCAAAAUGGUGCCGUAACUUCGGGAGAAGGCACGCUGGUGUGUAGGUGAAGUCCCUGCGGAUGGAGCUGAGACCAGUCGAAGAUACCAGCUGGCUGCAACUGUUUAUUAAAAACACAGCACUGUGCAAACACGAAAGUGGACGUAUACGGUGUGACGCCUGCCCGGUGCCGGAAGGUUAAUUGAUGGGGUUAUCCGUAAGGAGAAGCUCUUGAUCGAAGCCCCGGUAAACGGCGGCCGUAACUAUAACGGUCCUAAGGUAGCGAAAUUCCUUGUCGGGUAAGUUCCGACCUGCACGAAUGGCGUAAUGAUGGCCAGGCUGUCUCCACCCGAGACUCAGUGAAAUUGAACUCGCUGUGAAGAUGCAGUGUACCCGCGGCAAGACGGAAAGACCCCGUGAACCUUUACUAUAGCUUGACACUGAACAUUGAGCCUUGAUGUGUAGGAUAGGUGGGAGGCUUUGAAGCGUGGACGCCAGUCUGCGUGGAGCCAACCUUGAAAUACCACCCUUUAAUGUUUGAUGUUCUAACGUUGGCCCCUUACCGGGGUUGCGGACAGUGUCUGGUGGGUAGUUUGACUGGGGCGGUCUCCUCCCAAAGCGUAACGGAGGAGCACGAAGGUUAGCUAAUCCUGGUCGGACAUCAGGAGGUUAGUGCAAUGGCAUAAGCUAGCUUGACUGCGAGCGUGACGGCGCGAGCAGGUGCGAAAGCAGGUCAUAGUGAUCCGGUGGUUCUGAAUGGAAGGGCCAUCGCUCAACGGAUAAAAGGUACUCCGGGGAUAACAGGCUGAUACCGCCCAAGAGUUCAUAUCGACGGCGGUGUUUGGCACCUCGAUGUCGGCUCAUCACAUCCUGGGGCUGAAGUAGGUCCCAAGGGUAUGGCUGUUCGCCAUUUAAAGUGGUACGCGAGCUGGGUUUAGAACGUCGUGAGACAGUUCGGUCCCUAUCUGCCGUGGGCGCUGGAGAAUUGAGGGGGGCUGCUCCUAGUACGAGAGGACCGGAGUGGACGCAUCACUGGUGUUCGGGUUGUCAUGCCAAUGGCACUGCCCGGUAGCUAAAUGCGGAAGAGAUAAGUGCUGAAAGCAUCUAAGCACGAAACUUGCCCCGAGAUGAGUUCUCCCUGAGACUUUAAGUCUCCUGAAGGAACGUUGAAGACGACGACGUUGAUAGGCCGGGUGUGUAAGCGCAGCGAUGCGUUGAGCUAACCGGUACUAAUGAACCGUGAGGCUUAACCUU